rnacentral:lncRNA from 1 species
GCCGGCACAUUGUAAUGAGUCUGAGAUAUAAUUUUGUACUUUAUACAUUGAUUUGAUCAAUAAAAGGGUAAGUUUAUUUUUUAUUCAAGUAUGAUGUGUCAUUGAAUCGUUCAUAAAAUUAACUUUCAAUACAUAUUCUUGAAGUAUAGAGAAUUAAAGAUAUGUAUUUAAUUCUUAAAUACUUUCGAUCAUAGAAUCAUUAGGAGGAUGGUGGUCGAUCUGGAUAGACUGAUGCACAG